rnacentral:misc_RNA from 1 species
GAUGAAGAACGUAGUGAAAUGCGAUAAGUAAUGUGAAUUGCAGAAUCUCGUGAAUCAUCGAAUCUUUGAACGCACAUUGCGCCCUAUGGUAUUCCAUAGGGCAUGCCUGUCUGAGCGUCAGCUCCCGCCCACUCAAACCUUUGUAAGAGGUUUGGACAUUGUUGAAAAGGUAAUUUAAAACAUUACCUUUCAAAAAUACAGAGGCAGUAUUGGUUGCACCUGAAUUAAACGUGAUAGUUCUAUUAUAUAUCGUUUCUUUUAGGGAGUAUACCACUUGCCUUAUAACCCACUAAAUCCAUGGGUGACCUCAGAUCAGGUAGGGAUACCCGCUGAACUUAAGCAUAUCAAUAAGCGGAGGA